UUCUAAAUGGAAUAAAAUGUCGGGCCAACAUGCCACAGAUUCAGCCAAGGACCGUCCCUGCCACUCGGUCCAUGAGGAUUGCUCAGUGUGCUUAGCGGGCAGCGGCCACACACAGUAGCAUGGUUCACAGGUAUGGGACCGAGACAAAUAACAGUUACUCUCGAUGAUGUCUGAACGUCAGUCUGUGGGGCAAGUUAACAAGUCACUGUUUGCUUACAGACUACUAAUCAGCGAUGCUGUUUUCAGCAGUGAAAGGAUGAAGAAAAGAUGCUUAAAACAUCAGAAAUAAGAAUGGAGUGGUGUUCUUCCUUACAGCUGGAACAGCUUUGGAGAGAUACUGGAGUGUUACUGUGUCCACAAUGGUGACAGAAGAGGCACUGAAAAAUUCUCCUAUUAUGACGACUACCAGGAUCACCAGGAAUAUAGCCUCAACUUCUUGUUGAUCGUAAACAAGAGUGACUCGAUCAGAAGUCUAUUUCCUCCUCAGGAAUAGCUGCUGUCUCUGUGGAGGUGGGUGUUUCAUUGGAAGGUGGUUCUGGUUCCCUGGAAAUACCAUUAAAGGGAUCAGCAAGCACAUACUUUCUCUUCUGUUCCUCUUCAUCAU